rnacentral:rRNA from 1 species
UGAGGAAUAUUGGUCAAUGGCCGAGAGGCUGAACCAGCCAAGUCGCGUGAGGGAUGACGGCCCUACGGGUUGUAAACCUCUUUUGUCGGGGAGCAAAGGACUUCACGAGUGGAGUUUCGAGAGUACCCGAAGAAAAAGCAUCGGCUAAUUCCGUGCCAGCAGCCGCGGUAAUACGGAAGGUCCUGGCGUUAUCCGGAUUUAUUGGGUUUAAAGGGAGCGUAGGCCGGAGAUUAAGCGUGUUGUGAAAUGUAGGAGCUCAACUUCUGCACUGCAGCGCGAACUGGUUUCCUUGAGUACGUAGGAAGUUGGCGGAAUUCGUGGUGUAGCGGUGAAAUGCUUAGAUAUCACGAAGAACUCCGAUUGCGAAGGCAGCUGACUGUAUCGUAACUGACGCUGAAGCUCGAAAGUGUGGGUAUCGAACAGGAUUAGAUACC